GGUUGCUGCAGUUACUCGUUUCCACAAAGACUGAGAAUUUGUCGUUAACCAGGUUGAUUACAAGUAUGGGAGGACAGAAGCUGAAGACUUUGGAUACACAAAUAACAGCCAAAAUAUUGAAGAGAAGGUUUGAAGCACUGAAGAAAAAGAGGUGGGAAAUGCAGCAGAAUAUAUCUGAGUGGAGAAGAGGUAUGUAAGAACAAAGUUAGUGAAAACUGUCUAUAUAGAAAUAAUUAUUUCUGCCAUUGUUUUAGCAAUCAUAUGGAAAUGUCUCUUGAAUCGAUUUAGGACUGUUUUGUUCUGAUACAACCCAAAAUUUUCUAUGUGUAAUUGCAAGAAAAAAGAUUCUGAAGGUACAUACCAUGAUAAGAGUUUGCGUGUGUCAUGGUCCUAUGCUGUUAAGGCCUAAUAUGUUUUGUUGAAUCUACAUUUGUUUAUAUGGGGACAUGGCUUCAGCUAUACACAGUUUAGAUUGUGCACAGCUUUCUGUUAAGAGGCAGCAUAAAUUCACCAUCAGUCAUUUUGUUGUUUAUAGUCAGAGGUUAUAACAAUGAGCAUCGUCACUGCACGGAGAGAUUAAUGAG